AACGAACGCUGGCGGCAUGCCUAACACAUGCAAGUCGAACGAGACCUUCGGGUCUAGUGGCGCACGGGUGCGUAACGCGUGGGAACCUGCCCUUAGGUUCGGAAUAACUCCCCGAAAGGGGUGCUAAUACCGGAUAAUGUCUUCGGACCAAAGAUUUAUCGCCUUUGGAUGGGCCCGCGUUGGAUUAGCUAGUUGGUAGGGUAAAAGCCUACCAAGGCGACGAUCCAUAGCUGGUCUGAGAGGAUGAUCAGCCACACUGGGACUGAGACACGGCCCAGACUCCUACGGGAGGCAGCAGUGGGGAAUAUUGGACAGUGGGCGAAAGCCUGAUCCGGCAAUGCCGCGUGAGUGAUGAAGGCCUUAGGGUUGUAAAGCUCUUUUACCCGGGAUGAUAAUGACAGUACCGGGAGAAUAAGCUCCGGCUAACUCCGUG
rnacentral:rRNA from 1 species